AACGAACGCUGGCGGCAUGCCUAACACAUGCAAGUCGAACGAGACCUUCGGGUCUAGUGGCGCACGGGUGCGUAACGCGUGGGAACCUGCCUUUAGGUUCGGAAUAACUCAGGGAAAUUUGAGCUAAUACCGGAUGAUGUCUUCGAACCAAAGAUUUAUCGCCUUUAGAUGGGCCUGCGUUGGAUUAGCUAGUUGGUGGGGUAAAGGCCUACCAAGGCGAGGAUACAUAGCUGGUCUGAGAGGAUGAUCAGCCACACUGGGACUGAGACACGGCCCAGACUACUACGGGAGGCAGCAGUGGGGAAUAUUGGACAAUGGGCGAAAGCCUGAUCCAGCAAUGCCGCGUGAGUGAUGAAGGCCUUAGGGUUGUAAAGCUCUUUUACCCGAGAUGAUAAUGACAGUAUCGGGAGAAUAAGCUCCGGCUAACUCCGUG
rnacentral:rRNA from 1 species